GUUCUUGUGUUUAUAUCAGUCUGACGGGAAGAUGCGCACGCCCAUGUUAUACACCGUGAUAAAUGUUCUCAUCCUUGAUUGAUCCGUGAUCGACGACAGGUUAACCAGGAAACAUGGCUAUGAGGAAUAGAAAAAUUCCGAAGGAAGUUUUGGCUGUGUUUGAAAAGUACAUGAAAAACAAUGUAAGAAAUUUGAAGAAGGAACAAGCCUUGGAUAUGUUUGAGAAAGAGUUUGGUCUGGACGCCGAGCAGGGAGAAAUCAUGUUCAGCACCUUUGAUAAAGACAAAAAUGGCAUAAUGAGCAUAUGGGAAUUUCAGCAGUUUUAUAUGAGUGUCGGUGAUUGCGCCCAAGAUGUGAUAAACAAAUUCAAAGAAAUAGACGCUGACGGCAGCGGCAAACUGGACAGCGAGGAAGCAAAAGAAGGCUUAAAGUCAUUGAAGACUGCAACAGGAAGAAACUUGGAAGAAAAAGAAGUAGAUUUUUUCAUGAAAAGUGCUGUUGGUGAAGACGGCAUGAUUGAUCUUGGACAGUUUACUAACCUGUUGUAUACCCUGAAGUUAUAUAAGGCCCCAGCCCCAAAGAAAUAGUGAAUUAGUUAUUCAGUUUGGUUGACGCGCGGAAUCUUCAUUUGUAAUAACGUUUCAAUUCACACGUAUACGUUUAUACAUAAUUAUAUAUUUUUGUAAUGGCUGUUACAUUUUAAUAACUAUAAUUCAUUAUAGACAUCGCUCAUUAGUCUCCAAAAUAAGAGGUUUAGUUGAAUUAAAUAAGAGGUAACAUUGUAUAAAGAAUAUAGUACAACUUCGGUAUUCAUUAUGCAUUAUAUACUGGAAUGUUUUUCGCACAGAACUACGAUGAAAACGUGGAAUAAAUGAAAGUUAUGUUGCAAUCAUAUAUCGAUGCUAACCUACGUGAAAAAUAUUUUUACGAAUAAAAAACAACAGUUGUAACAAACGCUAAAAUCUAAAGCAACACAACUAUAAAGAAACACUUUUGGCAUGAAUUAUUUUUCUACUUGACAUGAAAUAAUCAGUGUCAUUCUUUAUAUUGUUCUGCAAAGAUCAAAAUUAAUGUCUUUGCUACUUUAAUUUUGAUUCAUUUUCAAAUUAGUUUGUAAAUUUUCUUCACGUGCAAGCUGCACAUUUAAAAACAACUAAAUGAUGUUUAACUUCUGCAUGGGAGUCUUUUAAUGAAAAGAAACAUUCUUGACGUUCUGCCAAAAUGUUGAAAUUUUGAGGGGAUAUUUUCAAUAACGAAAUAAGAAUGAACCUGUUAUAUAUAAUAUUAAAUGUUUAAUUUUGAAAUCAUUCUUGCAUGGACAAGAAUAAAUUACUUAGGACUGGUAUUAUGUUUUUCUAUCUGCAUCACAAUUGAUGCGAUAUAUGAGGUUAGUAUUGAUGGAAAUCUCCUCUCUGUUGAUUGUCGGUUCUAAAAGCUGUUUUCCUUUAUUGAAGUUCUACCUACUUAAUGGUCGAUUUCAACACAUCUUUUGAAAUUUAAAAUGAAACGACAUGUACUUCAAAGAGAGUUCUCUGGCUUACACCUGAAACUCAUUGCUCAUAAAUGUAAGUGUAAGUUGUUUCGAUCUAAACAAUUUCAAUAGACAUUGAAAAAUACAUUGUGAGUCAUUUUGAAGAAAGAUAUUUGAUGAAUUCGUCAGAAUUUAAGGUUGAAGUCCUUGUGAAUGCUGUGCCAGUUUGAGACUUUAAUUUUUGUUCUUGGUUAAGCAAAUAAGCAUUUCUAAAUAAUGAAAUUUAUAUAAAGUGUGAGAUACAUAUUUAUAAUGUAACAUGCUAGGAAAAUUUAACGCAAAUCUAAUAUGUUUGUUGAAGACUGUGCAAGACUGUACAAUCAAACCUGAAAUAUUCAUCGUCAAAAUAUGCGCUAAUACAUCCAGAUCGCUUUUGGUCACUGGUCAUUUCUUUUGAAAAAUCUAAUACUUACAAGAAAGCUGUUUGCCGAAGUGUUAACAGAAGGAUGGCAAAUUGCUUAGAAAUAACAGAUAACCUUUAAUUUAUCAAUGCACUGAUAGAACAUGAACGAGAUUCGCACACGGCUUAAGACUAUUUAUUUAGGGCAUUCGCAUGACAUUUCGGAUUUUUAUUUAUCGGUUGAAUGCUGUUAUAGAUACUUUCAAUAUUAUUUAUUAAUUCAUUUAUAUAAGUUGUGUUUUUUGUAUCUUAUAUAACAUGUAUUUUAUUAUUAUUACUUUGUGAAUAAACAUUUUUUAUCAAA
rnacentral:misc_RNA from 1 species